UACGUAGGGGGCAAGCGUUGUCCGGAGUUACUGGGCGUAAAGCGCACGCAGGCGGUCUGGUAAGUUUGGAGUGACAGUCAUCGGCUUAACUGAUGAAGUGCUUCGAAAACUGCCCGACUUGAGGGCUUCAGAGGGACACGGAAUUCCGGGUGGAGUGGUGAAAUGCGUAGAUAUCCGGAGGAACACCAAAGGCGUAGGCAGUGUCCUGGGAAGCAACUGACGCUCAUGUGCGAAAGCUAGGGGAGCGAACGGG
rnacentral:rRNA from 1 species